CCUACGGGAGGCAGCAGUGAGGAAUCUUGGUCAAUGGGCGCGAGCCUGAAGCAGCCAAGUCGCGUGAGGGAUGACGGUCCUACGGAUUGUAAACCUCGUUUGCCGGGGAGCAAGCGUGCGUUCGUGAACGCUCGUCGAGAGUACCCGGAGGAAAAGCAUCGGCUAACUCCGUGACAGCCGCCGCGGUAAGACGGGGUGUGCGUGCGUUAUCCGGAUCGAUGGGGUUUAGAGGGAGCGUCGGCGGGAUGCCAAGUCAGCGGUAAAAAUGCGGUGCUGAACGCCGUCGGGCCGUUGAAACUGGCGUUCUUGAGUGGGCGAGAAGUAUGCGGAAUGCGUGGUGUAGCGGUGAAAUGCAGAGAUAUCACGCAGAACUCCGAUUGCGAAGGCAGCAUACCGGCGCACUACUGACGCUGAGGCACGAAAGCGUGGGUAUCGAACAGGAUUAGAUACCCCUGUAGUC
rnacentral:rRNA from 1 species